UACGUAGGGUGCGAGCGUUGUCCGGAAUUAUUGGGCGUAAAGAGCUUGUAGGCGGUUUGUCGCGUCUGCCGUGAAAAUCCGGGGCUCAACCCCGGACUUGCGGUGGGUACGGGCAGACUAGAGUGUGGUAGGGGAGACUGGAAUUCUUGGUGUAGCGGUGAAAUGCGCAGAUAUCAGGAGGAACACCGAUGGCGAAGGCAGGUCUCUGGGCCACUACUGACGCUGAGAAGCGAAGGCGUGGGGAGCGAACAGG
rnacentral:rRNA from 1 species